GAGGAAGCCAGCCUUGCAUCUUUCAGCCAUUGUCGUUGAGGUAUGAGCUCUACCCAUCGUAUUUAAGUUGCAUUUCUUGCACUGUCUUUCAUCUGACUAUACUUUCAUAACUGCUUUAUCUGAUUCAUCUCUAACUAAUAUGUUUGUGUCUUUUCUUUUCCACAAUGUGAGUCUCGCGCCUUCAGGGGCUACGGUGCUACGACUGUACUGGACUAUAGUAUGACGAGCUCCCUGCAGGAGUACGCCACAUCGUCAACAGGGCUGGCUUCAGCCUUUUCUACUCUAGCCUGACGAGAGUUAUAGCUAGCCGUCCUCUUCUGGGGGCUCUUAUGGAGAGAUGGUUGGACACCACCAACUCUCUCCACUUCUCCACAGUUGGGGAGCUAAUGAUGACUCCCUAUAACUUUUCCAUGAUCACUGGCUUAGGUGUAGGGGGCAAUCCGAUCCCUCUUGAUACAGACAUGGGAGAGUGGGAGGCAGCUUGGGUCGAGCUAUUAAGGAUGCGCCCACCUUUGUACCAGCCAGACAUGGUUAAAUAUAGUUGGUUCAUGAAGCAGUUCCGGGGGACUAAGCCAGAGACAAUUGAGGAGACAGAGCAGUACGCCAGGGGUUUUCUGAUGUUCCUCCUCGGUACCACCUUGUUUGUGAACAGGGAAAACACCAUAGGAUUAUACCUACUGAGCAUAUUUGUGACCCUUUCCCGGGUGAGUUCCUAUGAUUGGGGUGGAGCAGGCCUCACCACUCUAUACGACUAUAUGAGUUCGACCUCCCGCCUGAGGGGAGACUUGAUCGGAGGCUACUGGCGAGCCUAUGAGCUAUGGUUAUAUGCUUAUUUUCUGACUCUGGCCCUAGUGCUUGUAGUGGAGCUUCCAUUGACAGUCCCUUAGUCACGGAGAUAUGACGGUCGGCUCCACCGUAGGACCCGCAAGCCCUUCUCAUUCUUCAGGCACUACUUUGACACGGUAGCUACUCAUGAGAUCAUGUGACAGCCAUGGGCCACAAUGCUGACAGGGAUUCAGGGCCAGUAUAAUGUGGCAUGGGGCAUUUCUUGUUGUCGCAUUCUACUCAAGGGCCCAGUUUGCCGAGCUUGGUUCCUGGGCGAGCGAGUCAUGCGUCAGACCAUGGGCUUGCCUACUCCGAUCAUACCGGUGGCACCACCAGAGUCCAUGAGAUCAGCAGACAACCUAUCUGCUAAUGAGGUCAUUCAGUUCAUGGUAGGCUUGGAGGCAGACUACUUCCGAGUUGAGGGCGAUUAUACAGUCUUCAUUCAGACAUACCUUAUGCCAUCUUUGACCGGUGUUCGUAGGGGUGAGGGAAUGAGAGCUCCUGCUGCGAGGGUGGCGCCUAAAACGACUUGGGCGACCAGGGCCCGUGGGAGAGGGGUUUCUCGAGCGAGGGAGAUGACUGGUUGGCCAGAGCUUCCCACUACACUUACAUGUUGGCAGCAUAUCGAGAAGGCUUACCAGAUCCCUAUUGAGCCUGCACCGGCCGGGCAUGAGCUUGCCGGGGUUCGAGGCCCAACUCCAGCAUGUACCACAAUUUACGUUUUGCAUGCCUUAUUUCAUUUCAGUUAUGUUUAUAGCACACUGAUCACCUCAACACACUUGCAAGCAUCUAUAGAGUACACCUGGGAUGCUCUCGAGCUGGCGGCUUCCCUGAUGGGGAUGGUGUAAAGAAACAUGAGCCUGCUCAGUCUCUACGAUAUUCAGAUAUACCGGGUGCACCAGCGGGAGUAGCACCAAGACCAGUAGUACCUCCUCCAACAGUAGGGCGGAGAGGGAGACGGGCUCUAGUACGCAGCCGAGGCAGAGCCAGAGGCACCUAAGAUGAGAGUGGUCCUUUAGAGCCCAUUCUGAGCAAUGACGACGCCGAGACGAAUGGCUCCGAUAAGGCAGUGAGUCCAUAGUCUGAGUCCUCUGAGAGUGGAGAUGACGGCGACUCUAGAUCUGAGAGUGGAUGUGAUGCUGAGCUGGGUUCUGAAGCA